GAAACCAAGAAUAAUUUUGUAUUUGAAGGAAAAACUAAUAAAUUAAAAUGCAUCAACCCAAUUAUCUGCUUAUACAAUACCAAACCUGAACUAGAAAAAUCACUCACUGAAAUGGAGUGCAGGCAGGCACAAAUCGGCAAGAACGCGUUAGGAGCAAUAUCAGCUAUCAGACAGAAAAUAAAACUGAUGCCUUCCACCCUUUUCUUAUUAUUGAGAGAAAAAAAUGCAUAUGAUUUUAGUCAAAGAAUAUACAAAAACACUAAAACAAAUUUUACAAGACCCUUCUAUAUAAUCUGUGGUUUUUCAUGA